AUCUGACUGACGAUUUUCAAAUAGAACGAAAUGCGCGUCCUGGAU
rfam:Schistosoma mansoni strain Puerto Rico chromosome 6, complete genome